GAUGAACGCUGGCGGCGUGCCUAAUACAUGCAAGUCGAACGAACGGACGAGAAGCUUGCUUUUCUGAUGUUAGCGGCGGACGGGUGAGUAACACGUGGAUAACCUACCUAUAAGACUGGGAUAACUUCGGGAAACCGGAGCUAAUACCGGAUAAUAUUUUGAACCGCAUGGUUCAAAAGUGAAAGACGGUCUUGCUGUCACUUAUAGAUGGAUCCGCGCUGCAUUAGCUAGUUGGUAAGGUAACGGCUUACCAAGGCAACGAUGCAUAGCCGACCUGAGAGGGUGAUCGGCCACACUGGAACUGAGACACGGUCCAGACUCCUACGGGAGGCAGCAGUAGGGAAUCUUCCGCAAUGGGCGAAAGCCUGACGGAGCAACGCCGCGUGAGUGAUGAAGGUCUUCGGAUCGUAAAACUCUGUUAUUAGGGAAGAACAUGUGUGUAAGUAACUGUGCACAUCUUGACGGUACCUAAUCAGAAAGCCACGGCUAACUACGUG
rnacentral:rRNA from 1 species